ACGCUGGCGGCAGGCCUAACACAUGCAAGUCGAGCGGUAGAGAGAAGCUUGCUUCUCUUGAGAGCGGCGGACGGGUGAGUAAUGCCUAGGGAUCUGCCUGGUAGUGGGGGAUAACGUUCGGAAACGGACGCUAAUACCGCAUACGUCCUACGGGAGAAAGCAGGGGACCUUCGGGCCUUGCGCUAUCAGAUGAGCCUAGGUCGGAUUAGCUAGUUGGUGGGGUAAUGGCUCACCAAGGCGACGAUCCGUAACUGGUCUGAGAGGAUGAUCAGUCACACUGGAACUGAGUCACGGUCCAGACUCCUACGGGAGGCAGCAGUGGGGAAUAUUGGACAAUGGGCGAAAGCCUGAUCCAGCCAUGCCGCGUGUGUGAAGAAGGUCUUCGGAUUGUAAAGCACUUUAAGUUGGGAGGAAGGGCAGUUGCCUAAUACGUAACUGUUUUGACGUUACCGACAGAAUAAGCACCGGCUAACUCUGUGCCAGCAGCCGCGGUAAUACAGAGGGUGCAAGCGUUAAUCGGAAUUACUGGGCGUAAAGCGCGCGUAGGUGGUUUGUUAAGUUGGAUGUGAAAUCCCCGGGCUCAACCUGGGAACUGCAUUCAAAACUGACUGACUAGAGUAUGGGUAGAGGGUGGUGGAAUUUCCUGUGUAGCGGUGAAAUGCGUAGAUAUAGGAAGGAACACCAGUGGCGAAGGCGACCACCUGGACCGAUACUGACACUGAGGUGCGAAAGCGUGGGGAGCAAAC
rnacentral:rRNA from 1 species